rnacentral:rRNA from 1 species
UACAGAGGGUGCGAGCGUUGUCCGGAAUCACUGGGCGUAAAGGGCGCGUAGGCGGCUCGGUCAGCGUGCGGUGAAAGCCCGGGGCUCAACCCCGGGUCGGCCGUGCGAACUGCUGGGCUGGAGCACUGUAGAGGCAGGUGGAAUUCCGGGUGUAGCGGUGGAAUGCGUAGAGAUCCGGAAGAACACCGGUGGCGAAGGCGGGUCUCUGGGCCGCUACUGACGCUGAGGAGCGAAAGCGUGGGGAGCGAACAGG